rnacentral:lncRNA from 1 species
CCAAGUCCAAGCAACAGAUGGGGUUGCUGCCAGCAAUGAAAAAAAUCUAGUGUGGUCACGCGUGCCUGUAAUCCCAGGACUGGGGACGUACAGGCAGGAGGAUCGGGGAGUUCAGAGCCAGCCCAGGAUACAUGAGAAGCUGACUUACAAAGAAAAAAAAAAAAAAAAAAAAAGGAACAGAAAACGGAGAGGCCACGAUCUGUGUUCCUUCAAAUGCUCUUGGAAGCACCCUUAUCUCGAUGUCUCCUUCAAUCGAACUGAGAAAAUACUUCACAACACAAUGAAAGCCAAGCACCAUGAGCCAGCAAUAACCACUGAAGUGUGUGAGAAAGGCUGAAACCCGUUCUCUAAGACCUACAGCAAGGUAAGGUGCCCAUUUCCAUCACUUUUAUUUAGUGAAAUACUGAAAGUCCCAAGCAGAAGAAAGGAACAAGGACAUACCAAGGCAGCGAAGAUCAAGUCACCUGUCGGCUGGCUGAUACUAUGCUCUCACUUGAAGAAAAACUAAGUUUCCCUGAAAACUAUUCGAACCAGUGAGCCAAUGCAGCCAAUUCCGCAAAGCUAGAGGGCUCACACAGAAAAGCCCACUAGCAAAUCAGCUAAACUAGAACUCAAGA